UACGUAGGGUGCAAGCGUUGUCCGGAAUUAUUGGGCGUAAAGAGCUCGUAGGCGGUUUGCCGCGUCGGCUGUGAAAACUCGGGGCUCAACCCCGAGCCUGCGGUCGAUACGGGCAGACUAGAGUGCUGUAGGGGAGACUGGAAUUCCUGGUGUAGCGGUGAAAUGCGCAGAUAUCAGGAGGAACACCGGUGGCGAAGGCGGGUCUCUGGGCAGUAACUGACGCUGAGGAGCGAAAGCGUGGGGAGCGAACAGG
rnacentral:rRNA from 1 species